AAUUAAAAAAAAAAAAAAAAAAAGAGUGUGGGUUCAUGCACAUCACGUUGUGUGUCCAGGCAGAAACUGCUAGGGUCCGCCUGCAACGGUUAGCUGACUUUUCCCUUCACCUUCCACAUGGACAUGGCUUCCCUACCCCACUCAAAACAAAUGCACUCUUUUCCUCACUCUCUUUGGUCUCAGCCCAGAAAAGGAGACUCCAACACAUCUUUUAGACAUACUACUUCCCAGCUUAUUGCUUCUCUGGUCCCCUCUUCUUCCUACCUAGGAGUCUAAGACUGACAUUCUCCUUUCACUUAUGAAAUAUCCCUUCUUGCAAAUGCGGCGCAGACCGUACUCCUGCUACCCACGCACUGCUCAUUUCACCAACCCUCUUACUCAGGCCGCUGCCACCUCACAUCUUUGCCGGCAGCCCAAUGCAUGGUGCCUGAACUCAGCUGUAGGAGAGCAAAGACAAUUCCUGUGGAAGUGCCUGGAGCAGCACAGACCUCUGGGUCACGAGAGUCACGCAUCUGUCCAGCUUCCAACAUUGCACAGUGGAGCAAACUGUCAGCAAGAGAAGUAGAAUCUUUGACUUUGAAGAGCUGGGACUUCCUGGAGAAAUGUUGCUGAAAUCUUGAGAUCCUCAGCUAAGUUAAUUUACAACUAUGUAGUGAGAGAACUCUCGGAAGAUUUACCUAACUCUGAAGGUGUGUUUACAUUUCAAGGGCAAAUGAGACCCAUGACCUUGGAAAUAGCUCUAGGUCAUAAAAACUGGAGCCACCAGGGUUGCUCUGGCUCCUGCAGAGAUGUAUUUAUGUUCCAAAAGGUUAGAGGGAGAACCCGGGAUCCUUUCCAUCCUGUUUGCAAGCAACAAAGGUUUUUCUCCCUUCUGGGAGAAGAGAAGGAAGCAGUUGCCUCUUCUGUAUAGAAGCAAGGAAAAUCCAUUCUUCUCCAUCCCUCACCUAGGGAGUGUCUAACCACCUAUGCUGGAGAUUUUGCCAUCUGGCUUUCAUUAAUAAAGGUGCAUAUGAAAAGCCCAACAGUUAUUAUGGCAGCAAAGAUGAUGGUAUCCUAUUUGUCACGUGGUUGACUGGAAGAGACAGAGCCCCAAGGCUGGUUAGCAGGAUUUAAAGGAUAUCCACAGGAAUCAGAUCUGUUAAAAAGAUUGAGAAAUUUGUUAGGGAUUAGGAGAUAGGCUUGGAAAGUGAGGAUUGGGAUUUUGCUCUCUGCUCUGGGUGGACCCAGAAAUCCUUCAGGGUGGGCUUCAGGUGGGACAGGAGAAGCUCGUGUUGCUCCUGCAGGUGAGAAGAGAGACUUACUCAGCUCCCAAGGCAAGAGCAAGACUGGGAGGACCGCACAGCUACAGGUAUUGAGUCAACACUACAGGGAAGGGUGUGGAGCACCACCUUGGAGACGCUUCCUUGCUCCCCUCUGCUCCUUAGUUCCCCUGCGACUCCAGACUCCAGCUGACUUUCCUGUCUCAGAAGGCACUGCACUAAUCCCUUUACACCCACCAGGGGACAGGGAGCCUGGAAUGUUGACAGUUCUGUGGAGAGAGGACUCAGGGGUAAAUGGAGAUGCUGAGGAAUGCAGAGUGGAACGCCUGGCCUGGCCUGUGAGCUAGCAGGAGUCCUGGAGCAUUCUCACAUAGGCCAAAGACAAAGGAGAGGGCUGUUAUAAAACACCACCCUGCUGCCUGCAUUUUGCCCCACUUCUACAUUCCCCACCGGGGAGGAAACAGCUUCUCCCUGCAGCUGUGAUUUUAUCCCUGUAAAUGCUGAUUUUAACUGUCAGGAGCUUGUGGAAAAAUUUGCAGUGGGGAAAAAAGAGGAGCUUAAAAAUGACUUUGUAUUGUUGUCUGUGCUGUUACACCUGAAUGUAUGGCAGAACUUGAUUUGGAGGUUAUAAGCUUGUCCUAAGUGCUCGAGAGGGAUCAUCUCACCUCCUCCAUCACGGAAGGCUGCUAAGAGAAAGCUGCCCUUGCCUUUUGUCACCUGUGAGUGGAAUGGAUGUCUCUUAGCCCUGAGGUUCUCUGGCAACAGGGAGAAAACUGUUGGCUUCUUACCAUAAAUUUGGAGACCUGAAAUCUUACUAGAUUAUAGGUGUGAGAGACAGACCAAGUCUCCAUGCCAGAUUUUUGCUGUGAUGCUCGCCUUAGGAAAGGUAGUAAGGCCAAAGCAAGAAGGGGGACAGCUUCCAGAGUCAGGUACACCGUAGUAGAAGUUUUUGACAUGGAUACUACAUAGUGUCUUUUUGAAAAGCAGCUUAUGAGCUUGUUACGGAGCUCUUGUGGAAUUCAGAUGUGCCCAUUCGUGGAAUGGGUCAACUCACACUCCGUGACCGACAGGUAAAAGGAGCUUUUACAAAAAUCCUUGUAAGAAAGGCCUUGCUAGCCGAGCAGCGGUUCUGCUUUGCAUGAGAAAGGGGCAGAGCGAUCUCCUCUAGCUGCCCCAAGCAAGGAAAAGCCACUGGCUUUUAGGGGCGGAGAGUCAGGUUUUCAGCUCUCCUAAGCUAAAAAGAGGUGUGGUGCCUCUCUCCUACCCCGCUUUGUGAGCUGAACUCAGAAUGUUCAAAGACAUCCUUCUGUGAGGCUGUGAGCUGCAGAAACGAAUCCUGAACACGGGCGGACCUGUCUGGAUCGCACACAGGUGCCCACGGAAAGGGCUGUUGUCCAGGAGGCCACCGCUGACGGAGUCUGCCCCAUCCCUAGCAGCCCCUCCGCCCGCUCAGGUGGAUGGAAUCAGAGGGGACUCUGGGACCUCCCUCGGUGAGAUCUCAUUGCUGUUGGCUUUUUGCAGUCAGCCUUUCUGACCUUUGCAGUCGGGUCAUUUGUGCCUCCUCUGGUUCUGGCAGAGGUCACUUAACCAUCAGCUGCUGGUCGGAUUCGCCUUCUCCCAGUACACACACCUCAGGAAGGCAGCUUGAUGAUCAAUGCAGCCGUCACCAGGGAGGGCAGAUUCUCUGAGCUUUUCACUGGCUCGUGGUCAGAAAGGUAGGAGUGAGGGCAGUAUAGAUCUAUUUCAAAAAAUGUUUUCAUUCAGAAUUCUGCCCUGACCAGUCUCCUGCAUAUGAUGUAUCUUUCUCCCGCUUGACAAUCAUCCCAGGUAAGCUUGCCUGCAAAGGGUCUCAGGAGAUGCAGAUUUCAUAAUUAAGUCUGUUUGAAUUGUGUGCAAAUGUUCUGUGAAAAGGCUUUUUGUCUCUCUCACACCCAACCCUUAUGGACGAAAUGUCUGGGUGAGAGGAGUGUAUGAUGGGAAAAACUUUGUGAAGUCACAGUAAGGAGACACACUGACUCAGUAACAAUGAAAGGAAAGUCAAAAGCAAGGCCCUAGAGAAGGAAGAACUUCACACCCAGGAGAUGGAGGGCAGGGGAUUCAUGACGCUUGCUUUCCAGAAUCUGCUCCUGGAGCCCUCCUCCCCGCUGCUCUCCUGACCUGCUGCCCUGUACUCCUCUUCUCAACUGCCUUCCUUGCUGCUGUGAGCACUCCAAAUUCAAACUGACCACCGAGCGUGCUCCUGCUGCCUGACAGCUGACCGGACAGGAGGGGGUGGGCCCAGCUUCCGCAUGGUCCACGUAUAACAACUCCAGGUACCGUCUGCACCUCAGGAACAGAUGAUCGGGUGUCACGAGCAAGCUGGACUGCUUGAAACUGAUUGCCUGAAGGCAAUCCCUCUGAAAACAAGAACUGAACUGAUUUAUUUGGGCUGAAGUGGGGAACCCCAAAACCUAUUAACUGGUCGAAGGCCACAUUAGGGAUCUUGUGCACUUAUGCUGCCUAACUGAUGUAUAAUCCCCCGCGUGCCCUCUGGGGCUGUGUGUUUGAAAGGCAGGCAUUAACUUCUCUCUGGUGAAAACACUGACCUACACCUAGACACGGUUAUCAGGAAUGUUCAAGUGUUUAUAGAAACACUACAGGUAGACCAAGGAGCCCUCAGACACAUACUCUUAGGGCAGCUUGCCUACAGUGUUAUUCCAUUAGAAAGGUGGUAUGAAAUUUAUUCCUCACAUUUUCAUUGAAGGGAUUUACGGCUCCAUCUCAGCCUCAAAGACAUUCAGGUCAGCUUCAACUCACUGGGGCCAAUUACAAGGAUGACGGAAUUUGCUCUAGAUUUCCUUCUUGCAGGCUGUGGCAAAGUCCAUACAAAGUAUUAAUACAUCCAGCUGAACCUGGGUAUAUGCCUCGGGCCAGGUAGGCAAGGUUGAUUCAGAAACCUGAGGAAGCCACCAGCCAUUCUAAGGUAGACCUUGAUGGUAAAUGAGAUUUUGUUCAAUUGACUAAAACCAGAAGGACCUCGGAGGCUGAGGCGAAGACCACUGCAGUGGGAAUGACCUCAUCCUGCCCUUGGAGUUCUGGGGGCAAUAGCUGGGUAUGUGCUGUUUAAGACAAAUCCAGUGGAUUUGGUCCUAUCUCCUGCCAGUCAGAUUAAAAGAAAAUGACCAACAGAGUGGCAUAUUCUAGAAAAACUUACCAGGAGCCAACUAGGGAGAAACAUAAGAGGUGGAAUCACUGGGUAGAGAGAAAAUAGUUUUUGUGUUUCUGCACUGUUGGGAUUUCCUGAAUAAAUUUGCUGAAAAUCAGCUAAGA